UUGGGCAGAUCCAAGUUCAAAGGGCAGCUUAAGAGACUUUAUCUCCAGCAAAAUUCCAGGCUGGAGAUGUGGCUUCAAAUGGUAGAAGACUAGCCAUGAACAAGUCUGGAAAAAUCCAAAGGGCUGAAGGGAGCAGGCACCAUCGGGGUGGCUCUCCUGCAGAGUCGAGGAGGCAUCGUCUGUCAGUCUGAGGCGAGGUUGUAGUACCGGGAGAAGAUAAAGAAGGAAGAAGGAACUCAGUCCUGGCCUUCAAUAAGUUUCCUGCCCUUAUUGGAGCUUAAG